CAUAGUCCAGGCUACCUCGUUGGGAGAGAGCACUGAGAAGAAGACAAUAUGGAGUGGUGGGGACUGUGGAAAACUGGAGUGAAGCCAUUCAGAUUAACCAAAUUUACACUCACUGAAGUUGCUUAUUUUUGCCCUGAGUUCUGUGAUGGCCCCUGCUCUGUCCCAGGUGAAUCUGAAGCCAGAGAAACCUGAGGAGGUGGCGCCAGCCUCUUAGACUGAACACCUAAAUCGGGCAGGCGAAAACAUGCCUGGGCCUGAGUCAGCUGGAGGAACGGAGGAGGGUCAUCCACGCUCCUUCCCAAAUCUCUGCAUCAUGGAAUGGGGCUGACCACGUGGAUCACGUGAGGACGGUGAGCACAGGGCUGGGGGGACACUUACCUAAGGUCACGAACUGUGACUGUGGUUGAGAAUCCUGCGGCUCUACCCUCCACCCCAGGCUGCCUCUUGGGUGGCAAAUGCUUCUUGAGCACCAGCUGUGUGCAGGAUGCAAUGGCGCUCCAACUUGUCUCUGUACUCUCUGUAUCUUGCUGUCUGCCCUGCACAAUUUGCUCCUUUCUCCUGGAUCCGUAUCACUGGUCUUUCUAGAUAUCACCUGGAUCACUCUCCUGGAGAGCCUUCGCUGAGCGCCUGCUUCCUAAGACACAGCGCCCAUUCAGUGCCUUUUCUGGAAGCUCUAAAGCA